UCAGCUAAUAGUUUAAUAAAAUACUAAUUUUGGAUAUUAGAGAUAUAAUUUAUUAUUUAACUG
rnacentral:tRNA from 1 species